rnacentral:rRNA from 1 species
GAGAGGCGAGCUGAGGACAUGCCGCGUGGAGGUAGAAGGCCCACGGGUCGUGAACUUCUUUUCCCGGAGAAGAAGCAAUGACGGUAUCUGGGGAAUAAGCAUCGGCUAACUCUGUGCCAGCAGCCGCGGUA